rnacentral:ncRNA from 2 species
GGUAUUUUUGAACUCCGAGCCCUGAUGCCUAAGUGUGCGCUCCCCGCGCAGAUAAGGUUUCUUGGCCGUGGCUUCGCGCCACCAGGGCGUCAGGUAGAAAUGCCGGCGCCUCCCGACUUGGAAAGGUGUUUAUGGUGUCCCAGU